ACAGAUUUUGCAGGUUUGUCCCUUAUUGUUUUAAAACCCUGAAACCACCAUAAGGUGAAAUUUAAGCCAAGCCUAAUAGAGAAUGGAAGGUUAACUAUAGGAAAACCAAGGAGCUCCUGCUCAUAGCCAAAUGAAAUAGCAAAAACUUUGAUUGAUACCAUGUCAGAACCUCCAGCUUGAGUGUAGUCAUCAAAAGACUGCAGCCACAUGAGUGAUCUCAGGAAGAACCAGCAGAAGAACUUCCCACACUGCUAAGGUCAGGUGGCAAGUGGAGAGUGGAAGAGAAGCAGGGAGACACAAUGUUUGGACCAGCCCAGGAUCCCUCACUCACA
rnacentral:lncRNA from 1 species